AUUGUAAGGAGGGUGUAUAAUCGGAAUAACGCCCCUGUCAUUGGCACCCUGUAUCCUGACGUUGUAGACGAGAAGAAGGUUCUGACAUUUAUUGAGUUACCCUUUGCUGAAGAUGUCAUCACAUUAAAAUUCCCGUCUCUCAGUCAUGUAAAUCCUACCUCAGAACAAAAAAAUGCCAUCAACAAACUAAUUGAUACACUAGAUCUCUCCAACCCAGAUGAUCCUGAUAACGAACUAUUCCACCCUGAAAAAACUUAUGAUCCAGAUCGGCAGUUAAUGUAUCAUAAAUUUGCCCAACAAAUUCUUUAUCCUGAGGAAUCAUCACAGUCUGAGCUCCCACAUCAUAUUGAAAAACUGAUGAGUUUGCCAAAUGAAUUGAAGGAAAAAGCUGAACCUGUAAUUGAAGACAUCAAACAGGUAUUCCCGCUCGUGGAGAUUGAAAGAAAACAAUGGAAGAAGGGCAGAGCAACAAAUGGAAAGGUUGAUGAUGAACCAGAUAAUGAAGAAGUGAAUGAUGAUGGCUCAAGUGGUGCGCAAACUGCUGGAAUUUCCUCUAUAUUCAAACCAACAGUUGUUCAAGUUAACGCUAUUCCCCUGUCAAAGAUUUCGAAACGCUUAUCCAGAGAGGAGAGGAUCAUACCGAAGUGUGUAAUCAGUUAA
rnacentral:lncRNA from 1 species